AUGGACGAAAGUCUGACGGAGCAACGCCGCGUGAGUGAUGAAGGUUUUCGGAUCGUAAAGCUCUGUUGUUAGGGAAGAACAAGUGCAAGAGUAACUGCUUGCACCUUGACGGUACCUAACCAGAAAGCCACGGCUAACUACGUGCCAGCAGCCGCGGUAAUACGUAGGUGGCAAGCGUUGUCCGGAAUUAUUGGGCGUAAAGGGCUCGCAGGCGGUUUCUUAAGUCUGAUGUGAAAGCCCCCGGCUCAACCGGGGAGGGUCAUUGGAAACUGGGAAACUUGAGUGCAGAAGAGGAGAGUGGAAUUCCACGUGUAGCGGUGAAAUGCGUAGAGAUGUGGAGGAACACCAGUGGCGAAGGCGACUCUCUGGUCUGUAACUGACGCUGAGGAGCGAAAGCGUGGGGAGCGAACAGGAUUAGAUACCCUGGUAGUCCACGCCGUAAACGAUGAGUGCUAAGUGUUAGGGGGUUUCCGCCCCUUAGUGCUGCAGCUAACGCAUUAAGCACUCCGCCUGGGGAGUACGGUCGCAAGACUGAAACUCAAAGGAAUUGACGGGGGCCCGCACAAGCGGUGGAGCAUGUGGUU
rnacentral:rRNA from 1 species